CCUACGGGAGGCAGCAGUGAGGAAUAUUGGUCAAUGGGCGGAAGCCUGAACCAGCCAAGUCGCGUGAGGGAUUAAGGCCCUGCGGGUCGUAAACCUCUUUUGCCGGGGAGCAGAGGUCCGGACGUGUCCGGGCCGGGAGAGUACCCGGAGAAAAAGCAUCGGCUAACUCCGUGCCAGCAGCCGCGGAAAUACGGAGGAUGCGAGCGUUAUCCGGAUUUAUUGGGGUUAAAGGGUGCGUAGGCGGGCAUUUAAGCCGGCGGUCAAAUGUCGGGGCUCAAACCCGGCCUGCCGUCGGAACUGGGUGCCUUGAGUGGGCGAGAAGUAUGCGGAAUGCGUGGUGUAGCGGUGAAAUGCGUAGAUAUCACGCAGAACCCCGAUUGCGAAGGCAGCAUACCGGCGCCCUACUGACGCUGAGGCACGAAAGUGCGGGUAUCGAACAGGAUUAGAUACCCCAGUAGUC
rnacentral:rRNA from 1 species